UAGGGAAUCUUCGGCAAUGGACGAAAGUCUGACCGAGCAACGCCGCGUGAGUGAAGAAGGUUUUCGGAUCGUAAAACUCUGUUGGUAGAGAAGAACGUUGGUGAGAGUGGAAAGCUCAUCAAGUGACGGUAACUACCCAGAAAGGGACGGCUAACUACGUGCCAGCAGCCGCGGUAAUACGUAGGUCCCGAGCGUUGUCCGGAUUUAUUGGGCGUAAAGCGAGCGCAGGUGGUUUAUUAAGUCUGGUGUAAAAGGCAGUGGCUCAACCAUUGUAUGCAUUGGAAACUGGUAGACUUGAGUGCAGGAGAGGAGAGUGGAAUUCCAUGUGUAGCGGUGAAAUGCGUAGAUAUAUGGAGGAACACCGGUGGCGAAAGCGGCUCUCUGGCCUGUAACUGACACUGAGGCUCGAAAGCGUGGGGAGCAAACAGGAUUAGAUACCCUGGUAGUCCAC
rnacentral:rRNA from 1 species